GCAGAAGUAGAUCAGUGGUAGAGCAUUUGCCUAGCAUGCAUGAGAUCCUGGGUUACAUCCCCAGCACUGCG
rnacentral:tRNA from 1 species